CACAAUAAACAUAUGAAGGCUGCACCGCCAACAGGCGGCAAGGCUGGAGUAUUUAUUACCCUUGUCUUUUGCGCACUUGUUGUUUCCUGGGCGGGUUCGCCCGCCUCCAGGACCACAUGAUAAACCUUUUUAUGCAGUUGCAAUCAGCGUCAGUACAACAAAUGUAAGUCAUUUA
rnacentral:misc_RNA from 1 species